rnacentral:lncRNA from 1 species
GACACUCUGCAUUGCCUUUUUACGUCACCUUCCAUCCCUAAUUUUGCAGGACGCCCUCCCCCUGUAAUUUUCAUGAUGUCUCAUGCCUGCACAGCGGUGAGGAAGAGUUCUUCCCAGAUUUGGUAGGAAACAACAGCAAAGGGAGCUGGAAUCUGGGCGCGAGUCCAGGGGAAGGGCUGUCUGCUGUCCAUGGCUUUCUGGCACUAAGCUGCUUCCUGAAGAUUACACAGCAAGCCAGGAUCAGCAUCUCAAGAGGAGCCGAUCCAGGAGAGAACGGGGGGCCAAAAGAGCCUGAGGAGUCUGAAGAUGGAGCUUUAUCAGCUUAGCAAAAGGCGAAGGUGACUGAGGCGCGAUGAGCACGUACUCAUGUCCCAGAGAGAGGAGGAUGAUGCAGGGGGAGCCCUUCCAGGCUGCCGUCGGCGUGACUAUUUGGGAUCAGCCUGGAGACUGGCCAAGGGAAGGCACCUCUAUAAUCGUGGAGAAGAGGCAGAGCCAAGUGCCCAGCACUUCCAUCGGGAGCAGAGAGCAGCGGUCACGACGAGGAGCUCUGGGAUGGGAUAAUCACCCUGACACUAACGAAGUCUCGGGGACCACCAGUGCUAGUGCCAAAUGUGCCCUGUACAGCAUUGGCAUCUUCAGAGAAAGAAAGCAGUGGAUGAGGACUUCUAAAGUAGCUGAGAUUGUGCUGGAAUGGACACGGAUUUGGGAAGAGGAGAGACGCUCCCCUCCCCAGGGGUGGCUGUCACCAAAACCACAGCAAAACCCUCAGCUCAGCUCCUGAUGAACGGUGCAUGGGACAAAGUCACAUCGCACGUAAAAUACCCCAGGACCCUUGUGGGGGCCUAAACAGAGGACACUGGGGGGUUUCAUCUUCAUUUUCUCCCUGGGGGGAUGCUUUUCCCACACCAGCAAAGGGGAUGAAGGCUCCCUUGGCCAAACUGCAGUGGCCCCCAGCUCUGUGAGGGGGUGUCGUGGCUCUGUUAGGGGGUGACCUGGCUCUGUGGGGGGUGACAUAGCUCUACGAGGGGGUGACCCGACCCGUGUCAGGGGGUGACAGCUCCAUGAGGGGGUCACACAGCUCUGUGAGGGGGCGACCUGGCUCUGUGAGGGGUUGACGUGGCUCCAUAGGGGGUGACAUGGCUCUGUGGGGGGUGACAUAGCUCUACGAGGGGGUGACCUGACCCGUGUCAGGGGGUGCCAGCU